AGGCUUGUAGCUCAGGUGGUUAGAGCGCACCCCUGAUAAGGGUGAGGUCGGUGGUUCAAUGAUGCUCACACAGAUUGU
rnacentral:tRNA from 1 species